AGUCUCUCCUCUCACACCGAGGUGCUGGAACUAGGGGUGCUGGGAGGGCUGCCCAACCCCCUGGCUUAAAGUGGUUCCCUCAUUUACAGGGUUUACAG